AAAACCUUAGUAAAAUUAUUACCUGGUCCUGUCAGAGCCAAAUUAUAGUCAAGUACUAUAGGUUUUA
rnacentral:tRNA from 1 species